rnacentral:misc_RNA from 1 species
AAAGGUUUUCAUUGUAACUUUUUAAGCCAAUCUUUGUUAAGAGUUAGCUGAUUCUGUUUUAGCUUGAUAUAAGACAAGGUACAAUUUCUUAUUAAGGAGAUAAAACAAUAAUAACAAACAUAUUAUAUGAUUUUAUUUGAAUUCUCGUUGCCACUGUUGUAUCCAACAAACAAGUUAUGCAAAUUGGUUCAAACAGAAACAGAAACAUAUUGUCUGCACCUUGUUUUGAUUAACUAGUAGCUAAUUUAUUUAAGACGAGGCUUUUAAUUAUUCAUAUCUAAUCAUAUAUAGACCAAGAGAGAAUAUAGUAAGUGAUAAGAGUUGGUUUCUCAGAAAAGGAUGGAAUGUUAUCCAUGAGAAUUGAGAAGACCUCUAGAUAGCACAGCUUCUUUAAUGAGUUUGAGAGAUCCAAUGAUGUCAUGAAUUUGCUGGUGAGGAUCAGGAAUAGAGCUUUCAUCAACCAAUAGAACAAUGCUCAUCUUAUUUGGCAUAACUUUGGAAGUUAAUCAUCAAUGCCUACAAUAUUCAACAUAAGGUCAGGCAGGCAUGCAUUUAGAAGAUGACACUAUCAAUCAAGUGAAAUUAACAAGAAAAGUGCUAAAUUAUGUACGUGUGGUUGAUCGAAAGAACUUGGAGCUAUGUAAGCUAUUGGAUGACCAUAAAACCCGAUUUCCUCUUGAGGUCCAACUAGAUUGGAGAAGCACAUUGUCGUGUGAUAGAUAGUUCUGUGGGAUAGAGCACUGGCUGUCUUAAUGCCAAAAAGCUUAAAUAUAAUUUCAGCAAUGGAGAAAGUGUACAAUGCUUCAUAAGAAUGCUUCUUUCGAUCAACUGUGGCUUUGACUUUACGAACAUAAUCUAAAGGGUCAUCUCGGAUGGCAAUGGUGAAAGGGAGGAUGACAUAACCAAUCCAGUUCCCCCAUUUUGCUUCACCAUCCUUUUCCAUCAUAUCAGCUAAAGCCUGAAUUCCUGUGACUGGUCUUAUAUUGACGAGAAGAGUUGCUCUGAGCCUAAUAUUCUAUGGGAGAUUAUUUGUCAUUUGGGUUGGCUCCUCAUCAGCAUUCUUA